AUUUGUAGGUUUCAUUGAUUCCCUUAUUUCCGUUCUGCAUAGUGUCACCCUCUUCCACCUCAUACUGCAUUCUAUUUCGAUUUUGCUUAAAAAAAUUUGAAAUCAAAGGUAAUUUUUUUUUGGAAUUGAUGGCCUUCAGGUGUGUUCAUCGUGCCUUGCAUGGAAGUCGAUGCUUAAUCAUAAUUUUGUAGUGUAUCAGAAUCUGUGAAACAUACAGGGAAUUACUGCUACUUGUGGUCGGAUUUACUGCGAGCAUUUCCUAGGGAUUUUCCAUACUUGAGUUCAGCUCCUCCUGUAACUCCAAGCAUAAGAUUGUUUUUAUAAAAUCUAAUUUGUUUAGAAUGGAUUAGCAGUAUAUUCUAUUAGAAUAUGUAUAGUUGUAUUAAAAUGUAUAAGUUAUUAUUCUGUAAGAAUAUGUAUGAAUAUACAUUCAGGUGUCCAUGAGUAAACAACGAUCCUUAAGAAUAUGUUUUUAUUUUAUUUUUAA